AAACGGGCCCCCGCGACGACGAGCGCGUCCCACUACAUCAACAUUGAGUGUGACACUCGGACGAAGGGGGUCACAAACGUCUGCCGCACACGAAACAAAAUAUGCAGGGCGGCGCAGACCUUGCACUCAAGGAGGCGUGCCACAACGAGCUACGGCUUUGGGAGCUUGAAGGUCGGCGACGGGGCGUUGGAUGCGAGCCACUCCUCCUCUUCCAGAACCAUCGCCACUCGAUAUCAGUCUUCUUCCCUACAUUGAGGAGGAUAAAUUUGCGUGGAAGCUAACUGAAACCAGAAAUCCAAAGCUUGGGAAUUCCAUAUGCAGAAGGAGAAAAUAAGGUUGUAGCAGAAUCCUUCAGCAACUUCAACUUCAAGUGUCUGAUGAACCAGAAGAGCUUUGUGCAGUCAAAUCAGCAGCUAUACAAUGGAAGAUUCACUGACUUCAUUAUGACCACUUUUCUACAGACUCCGAGUUCACAGAUGACCAACUUCUAUUAGCAUUAAUGAGAUAAAGAACCUUUAAAUUAUAUCUAACUUGAUGAGUGGAAACCAAUAGGAUGAAAUGAUUAGAUCU